rnacentral:rRNA from 1 species
CCGAAACUAAGUGAGCUACUUUAGAAUAGCCAUAGAGCCAACCCGUCUCUGUUGCAAAAGAGUGGGAGAAUUUUCAAGUAGAGGUGAUAAACCUAUCGAACUUAGAGAUAGCUGGUUUUUUAAGAAAAGAAUUUUAGUUCUGCUUUAAAUUUAAUGUUAAGUCAAAAACACACCUAAAUUUUGAAGUUACUCAAAUAAGGCACAGCUUAUUUGAAACAGGAUACAACCUAGAACCCAGGGUAAGACGGAUAAAAUUUUAAUAAGUGGGCCUAAAAGCAGCCAUCUUUUAAAAAGCGUCAAAGCUUAGUAACCACAACUUUUUAAUACCUUCAACUACUUCUAACCCGCACACACUAUUAAAAAACUCUAUAAAGUUAUAGAAGCUAUUAUGCUAGAACGAGUAACAAGAAAAAGACUUUCUCCACAAUGUAAGCUUAAGCCGUAAUAGACACUCUACCGGCAAUUAACGUUUAUAAGCCUCCUGUAACAACAUAAACAAGAAAAUUUUACACUUUUCAACGUUAAUCUUACACUAGCACAU